GAGCUUGCUCCUGGGUGACGAGCGGCGGACGGGUGAGUAAUGUCUGGGAAACUGCCUGAUGGAGGGGGAUAACUACUGGAAACGGUAGCUAAUACCGCAUAACGUCGCAAGACCAAAGAGGGGGACCUUCGGGCCUCUUGCCAUCAGAUGUGCCCAGAUGGGAUUAGCUAGUAGGUGGGGUAAUGGCUCACCUAGGCGACGAUCCCUAGCUGGUCUGAGAGGAUGACCAGCCACACUGGAACUGAGACACGGUCCAGACUCCUACGGGAGGCAGCAGUGGGGAAUAUUGCACAAUGGGCGCAAGCCUGAUGCAGCCAUGCCGCGUGUAUGAAGAAGGCCUUCGGGUUGUAAAGUACUUUCAGCGAGGAGGAAGGCGGUGAGGUUAAUAACCUCAUCGAUUGACGUUACUCGCAGAAGAAGCACCGGCUAACUCCGUGCCAGCAGCCGCGGUAAUACGGAGGGUGCAAGCGUUAAUCGGAAUUACUGGGCGUAAAGCGCACGCAGGCGGUCUGUCAAGUCGGAUGUGAAAUCCCCGGGCUCAACCUGGGAACUGCAUUCGAAACUGGCAGGCUAGAGUCUUGUAGAGGGGGGUAGAAUUCCAGGUGUAGCGGUGAAAUGCGUAGAGAUCUGGAGGAAUACCGGUGGCGAAGGCGGC
rnacentral:rRNA from 1 species